AUACCUGGAGGACAAUGUCUCUACCACAGGUCACCAAGGAAACAGUAACACUACCUAUAAUGUCUCUACCACAGGUCACCAAGGAAACAGUAACACUACCUAUAAUGUCUCUACCACAGGUCACCAAGGAAACAGUAACACUACCAAUAAUGUCUCUACCACAGGUCACCAAGGAAACAGUGACACUACCUAUAAUGUCUCUACCACAGGUCACCAAGGAAACAGUGACACUACCUAUAAUGUCUCUACCACAGGUCACCAAGGAAACAGUAACACUACCUAUAAUGUCUCUACCACAGGUCACCAAGGAAACAGUGACACUACCUAAAAUGUCUCUACCACAGGUUACCAAGGAAACAGUGACACUACCUAGUAACAUUCAAUAAUGUUAAAAUAUUACACUGGAGUCACGUUCUGACACAAUGAUGUCCUAGUUUAGUAAAACAAGAAAUAAUCAAUACAUGGAAAAUACCAUUCAACUGUAUAUACAUGAUCAAUAUAUAAUAUACAGUGGGGUCUGGAAUUAUAGACACCCCUGAUAAAGAUAAUAAUGACUGUAUAAAUACAUCAAUAUAUAAUAUACAGUGGGUCUGGAAUUAUAGACACCCCUGAUAAAGAUAAUAAUGACUGUAUA